CAAUAAUCCUUACAGGUACUGAAACAUUAUAUUCAAAGAGUGAUCUAUUUACGAGGGUCUUUCAAAAACCUCGUUUGCCAUUGGAAUCCUUUUGGAGUUUUGGACCAAUUUGUUUUGAAACAAAAUAUCUCAAAAGAAUCCCACACGGCCUUACGUAAUCGAUAUAUAAUGCUGAUUUGGCGAAACGUUAAAAUUAUCAUGAUGUGCCUCUUGCUUUUUGCCCUUAUCGCUUCAAGUUACGGUUUCUCUCGAACUUCUGCUCGGAGAAGGUAUGACAAGAAAAACCCCCCAAGACGUAGAAUGCGAUUGCCAAAACAUUCAAUUUUUGGACCAUGGUAUUUAUAAGGGACGACUGCAAACGAAAUAAGGUAUUUAUAUAUAUUAUUAAUAUAUCAGUUGGAAGAGCAUUGGGCUAGUAUUCCAAAGGUCGUAGGCCGGUUCGAUCCCGCCGUGGCCAGGCAUAUUUUUCAAGCCUGCCCCGCGGUGUGGAUAUACUCAUAUACACUCAGAGUAACAUCACACAAACAUAUUAAUAUUUUAUUCAUCGUAUGUGUAUUCAUGAUAUUAAUAAAACGGUUCGUCCCCAUGCACAUUGGUGGGAGCCUAUUGCGUAAGCAUACAAAUUUUAAAUUACGAAAUAAUAAGAAAUUCUAAGUACUAUUUAAAACACAAGCAGGAGUGCUUUAUCAGAUAUAAAACAUGAGAGCGCAGCUCGAGUGUUUUAUAUCUCAUAAAGCACGAAAAUGUUUAAAAACGACCUAUCUAAAGAGUUCAUUGGCGAAGUAAUUUUAAAAUUCAACGUUGUCUAGGCCGAGAAAAUCAAAGCUAAAGCCGAUUUAGAUCGAGCUCGGCUCUCCUGUUCUGUAUCUGAUGAAGCAGUCUCGCUCGCGUUUAACUAGAGCCAAGUAAAAAGAAAUAAAUGGUUUCUCGUCCUCGCCCGCAUCCUUUUUCCCUGCCGCAUGGAUUUUUCUUUUUUUUAUGUUUUAUAUUCGAGCCUUUCAAAGAAUUUCCACUUAGCAUAUUUCGGCCAUUUCGCUCCUUUCGGCAUAGUUCGGUUGCCGUUCAAAUAUUUUCGUCAACUCUACAAUCCCUCACAAAAAUUAUGAGACUACCCAUGUGAAAGUAUAAUUUCCCCUCCCCCUACAGAGCAAUAUGUUGCUCGUGAUUGAGUUGAAGUUGUGAAGCACAAUGCUUGAAAUAACAGUCAACAUUGUUUUGAAGGGGGAGGGGGAGAAGGACGAGCUCCUGAUGGUAGGAAUUUGCUAAUUUUAUAGAUAAAUAUGCAAGUCUCAAUAUAUUUUGUGAAGGAUUGUAGCUUGCUGUUCGGUACUUCGCGCCCGCUGUUCGCGCCAUAUUGUUAUUUUGGCGCCAUAUUGCAUAAGUAGCUGUUUGUCUAUUUUAAUAUAUUUAUACAUUUUAUGAGUAAACUUCAAUAUUUGCGUGUUUUUUAUAGGCUAUUUUUGGUAAACUUUAAGAGCAAUAUUUGAAGGUUUAACACUAAAAAAAAUGAGCGCCGGCAUUCUCCUUUUUUUUCAAAAUUCGGACGAGAAACUACUAUUUUUACUUGACCUAGUACUUAAAAGUCCCUGAUGAAGUAAUUAAAUUAAAAUUAAAUUAGUUUUGUUUAUUAGCACAUCACAUGUCCAUGAAAUUGCAUAUUAGCAAAAUCUGCAGCAAGGCCUUUCGAAGCCUUUACCAUAUCAAACAAAUCAGGAAAUACUUAACUGACGAUGCUACCAAAACUUUAGUUUAUGCAUUUAUUACAUCCCAUUUGGAUUAUUGCAACUCUUUACUGUAUGGAAUUCCAAAAUAUCAAUUAAAUCGAUUGCAGAAAGUGCUAAACGCUGCUGCUCGUGUUGUAUGUCUUGUACCUAAGUUUGAUCACAUUACCGACCUACAUUAAUGAGACUGCAUUGCAUGGUUACCGGUUAAAUAUCGUGUUAUAUUCAAGAUCGUACUGUUGGUUUAUAAAGAUCUGCAUGGAUUGGCUCCCAAAUAUAUUUGUGACAUGUUAACUUAUAAACAAAGUAAUAACUACUCUUUGAGAUCGGACGAACUAGGGCUUCUUCAUGUUCCAAACACACGUAGAAAGUCUUUUGGUGAUCGUGCCUUUUUGAAAGCAGGACCUAUACUCUAUGGAACUUAGUACCGUGUGAGAUUCGGCUUUCACCUUCGGCUUCGUUGGAUUCUUUUAAGACAAAUCUUAAGACAUUUUUGUAUAGAGAUGCGUACAUUAAUAAUACUUCAUGUUUUUAAAUAUUUUUAAAUAGAUGCUUAUAGUAGUUAAAUGUUGUGUAAAUUGAACGUAGGGAAAUUUUUAAAUUAGCUUCCUAUUUUAUGUAAUUUAGCGCUUUAGAAUAUUCUAUAGUUUUAGCGCGGUAUAAAUUAAUAAAUUAUUAUUAUUAUAAAUAGAAAGGCUUAAACUUUUCCGUACGGAUGAAAAAUGCUUAACUGAAAAGCAGCCUUUAGUUUUUAUUUGUACUACAGUAGAUAGCUACGUUAAUUGUGAAUUGCGAGGGUUUCGGUUGCGCAAUCGUCUGAUUGCAUGCAUUUUGCAAAGCGCCUUUCGUUUCUGAGAUCGUGAGUGUAAUUCUCGCUGUAGACUCAUGACACAAUCUCAUUAUCUCAAAACUUAACUUCGGCCGUUCAUUCCAUAUGGCAUAUGCCAUGUAUUUAGGCUUCCAUGCAAUCAUGAGUUGGACAUCUUGUCAAGAGAUCUACAUUCUUGUUCCCAUUUGGUGGCAAUUCGCCUAUAAUGUGAGAUUAAAUAAUAAUAAUAAUAAGAGGGAGAUAGCAUGAAUAGCUGAAGACCACGCAUGAAUAGCUAGGGGUUCUGGGGGUUUGUAUGUAAAAAAAGGCCCUUACUCGUAAAGGAUCAUACGUGAUCAUUUCUUGUAUAUUUUCAAGACAAUUCUUCAUCAUUUUACAAUGACUGUUGUCGUCUGUAAGCCAUCUUCCAGUGAUACCAUUGUUGGCCUUGCCCACAUACACUUGGGUUUUGCCCGCAAUGACGUUUAGCUUCAACUGAAUGCCGGCGGCGUUACCGUGCUGAAAAUCUUCGUGAAAAUCCUGCAUGACCCCGUUUACACUUUCCGUGUCCCACUGAAUCGAAAAUUUCUGUUCACGAUGAGUUUUGUUACAAAAUAAAUACAUAUAGACACUUCCUUCUUAAUUCCAAGAAUUGUCUGGUCUGCAAAGGUGUGCGAAUCCAAUCCGAAUCCGAAUCCGAUCCGAUCGGAUGUAAAUCCGCACUUUCUGCCAUUGUUUAAAUCUUAAAAGAAUCAAUCUCAAACUCAUUAAUAAUUCAUGAGCAAAUUAGCCAACCGUAUUACUUUAUUUUGCUCAUAUGAUAAUAAUGGAUACCUGAUGAAGUAUAUUGAUCCAGUCCUAGGACAGGAUCAAAAUUAACUCAGUCCUUAGCUUGGACUAGAUUAAAAUGAAUUAAGUAUAGUGAUUUAUUCGUACGAGAUGUCAUUUCAAAUCUUCCAAUUCGCACUGGACUAGCAUUUCCUCGCAUUUUUAUCCAGUUCUCGGCUUCACCUCGGGCUUGAUCAAAUUGCGCGAACUUGAAAUCUACUCCAGUCCUCAUAGUCGGAUUUCAAAUAUUACAUAAUGCACCCACGCUUCAUGUAUAUACAUCAAACAAGAAACCACAAAAUCGGAUUUUUUUAUCCGUUAUCAAUGGCUUCGGUCAAAUUAAAAUUUAUGGUUUAUACUUGCAGGUCCCGUCGACUAGAUGCGUCCGUGGGAAUAUGACAUCUGCCAAUCUAACUCAACACAUUUUCAGUUUGUUUUGAAUAAUUUAAAAUCAUGCCAUCGCGGCUGCUGGGCUAAUACAAUUUCUGCAACUGCCCAGUUGUUUGUUAUCAACGCACAUGAAACAAGUGCAGUGUCUACUGAGUCUUCGUAGAAAAAGCCAUAUAUGCAUGGUUGCAAAUUAAGGGAAAACGUAGUUGUAUAGUCUGAUUAUAAACUAUGAAUUGAACUAUAUGUAGUCUCGCUGCGAAAAGAGUGAUCGGUCAACGCUCUACAGCCGAAAGUCGUGGGUUGUCUCCGGGCGCCCCCGUUUCCUCCCACUGCAAAGUUGACAGGGUGGGUUAAGAUAAACACGGUUAGGAAAGUAAUAUCACAAUUAAUUGUGAUUUUUUCUGUGUUGGCGUUAUGUACUCAGGUGAAUAUGAUGUUUGUGAUGUUACUCUGAGUGUGUAUAUAUCCAUACUGGGCGAGCUUGAAAAGGUCGUAUGUUCGAUUCCCACCGUGGCCAGGCAUAUUUUUCAAGCUUGUCCGAUGUGGAUUUACACUCAGAGUAACAUCACAAACAUCACAAUAUCACACUCGUUGUAAAGAUAGAAUAAACUGAUUACGCAAUCGAAAUCAGGAAACGGAUCUAGCACUUCCAAAACCAAAAACUAAUUUUUUGAAGCGAAGCUUUAAAUAUAGUGCAUCAAUGCUGUGGAAUAAUCUUCCAUUAGAUGCAAAAAGAGCGACUUCGCUCAGUCAAUUUAAGCGUAGCAUUGCGCAGCUGUCCUUUUAGAACCAUGUUUACUUAAUUACAGUUAACUCUCUUUACUUACUUUACUUACUUUAUUUUUUUCAGUUGUUGGGGGAGAAGGGGAGGUUGGGGGUUCAUAUAUUAUUCUAUAUAUUUUACUAUUUUGUAUAUCACGCCCCUCCUGUAAAUCAGCUUUCAGUUGUGCGAGGCUAGCGUGUUUUCAUUUUAAAUAAAAUUGAUUGAUGACGAUGAUGGUAUUCCAAGAAAUAUCGUUGUAUAUCGGCGAGCGAGUUAAUAUUAUCUGGCAUCACGUGUAAGUAAGUGCUAGUCGAACUUUAGCCUCCAAUAGCAAAUGGUAAACUUUGCAAUCCAAACAUUUACGGUCAAGUUUUGUGUGCAUUUCGGCUAUUAGGGCAAUCCAAUUUCUUGCACGAACUUGAACUUCCAAAUGUAAAUUGCAGCCAUAGAACCAAAGGUCGCGGAAGCACCUCGAAGUGUGUGUGUGUGGGGGCACUGACCAGAAAGGGCACUUGAGUCAGAAUCAUUCUAAAUAUGUUAGAUAUAAGAUAAGAUAAGAUGAUGUUUAAUAGCACAAAUUCGCACAUAAAGUGAAGUACAAAGUGCUUACAUUAAAAUACUAUAAUAAUAUAAGAUUAUUUACAAUGGUUGUUAGAACAAAGUUAAAAUCAAGUCUCACCAGUCACUAUUUACUAUUAGCGAUAUUAAUUGUAUUUGGGAAAAAGCUAUUUUUAAACCGAUCGGUUCGACAUUUAUAAGUUGAUAAAUUAUUUAAUGAUCUAAUAAAAUAAUUAUGCUCGUUCGAUCUAGUCUGUGUCACGUGUUGUGUAAGCGGACCACCUCUGGUUAUCUUCGUGAGUGUCUUCAAACAUAGAUCUUCACGUCUAGUCUCCAAUUUGGUGAUACCAGCCGACAGCAACGCAUCUUUGUAAGUUUGUUCAGGAUAUACAAUACGCAAGGCUCGCUUUUGGAUUUUUUCAAGUUUGUCAGAUAAAUAGCAUGAGAUAGAGUUGUGCCAAACUUCACAAGAGUAUUCAAGGAUUGAGCGUAUUAACGCAAUAUACACAGUGAGAAGGUCUGCAGGAGGAAUACCACUUCGGCGCAACACCCGGAGGAUAUGCAAUCGUUUGGAUGCCUUCGAGACUAUUUCAUGGAUAUGUUCAUCCCAUUUCAGGUUGUUUUGGAUCGUGAGUCCCAGUACUUUAUGUGAACGCACUGUCUCAAUUGGGUGUCCAUCGAUUAACAGAGGCAUUAAUUGGGGGGUUUCUCCAAGGAAACUGAUAGAGGUGCAAUUUCUGCUAAGACUCUCAGAGGUUGAAACGUCGUCUACGUAUUUCCACAUUCUAGUGUCGGGAGAAGUGAUUCGCAGGUUAUUGACCAUUACUAGGAACAAGAUUGGACCUAGUUUUGUCCCCUGAGGAACACCUGCAUUCACUGGAAGCCAGUUGGAGGUUGCUCCGUCAAAUUUAACACGCUGCCUUCGAUUUGAGAGGAAGUUGAUGAUCCAAGGGAUUAAUGAGCGUCUAACACCCAAAUUUAUCAGUUUCUCAAUUAAUAGAUUAUAACCAAUGCGGUCGAAGGUCUUGGAGAAGUCUAGGAAACAAAUACGCAGAUGAUUACCGAGUCCGUCAAGGUGGGAAAGCCAAGUAUGUAACAUAUCCAGAAGGCAAAAAGUGGUGGAUGUCCCUUUCAGGCAACCAAAUUGGCUGGGGUCGAUUUUUUUUCUUUUACAUCCUCAAUCAGCCAAGAUACUACAAAAUCCUCUAAAACUUUAGACAAGCACGAUGUUAGUGAUAUAGGCCUAGUGUCGGCUUCAGCAAUCGGUUUACAUGUUUUAGGGAUUGGGACUAUGUUCGAUUCCUUCCAACUACUCGGCACAACUCCUGAAGCAAGGGAUGUAUUAAAAAUAAUGGUGAUCGGCUCAGCUAGCACGUGAGCAUACUCCUUUAAAAUUCGAGGUGAAAUAUUGUCAGGUCCGGGGGCUUUAAAAGAAUGGACAGUUUGGAGUUUCUUACAGACUUGGUAACAUUCAACUGCAGGUACACUUUCAUUUGAUGGUGAAAAAGGUGGUAAUAAGUUCACAUCUAAUGGCGGAAUAUCAGCGUUAACGGAAGUAUAGAAUUCGUUAAGGGCAUUGGAAGCUUGUAAAUUGUUUAGGAUUUCACCAUCGCGUUCUAAGGUGAAAGGCUUUGUUGUUUCCGGUUUGCCAGACAUUUUGUUAAUGAUUUUCCACCACUUACGACUAUCGCUGUUUUUUAAAUGCUGAACUUUGUUUUUAUAAAAUGAUUUCUUUCUUUGCUUAAUCUCCUCUUGGACUUUAUAUCUUAAAGAUUUCCAUAGGGGGAUAUUAUGGUUAUGGAAUGCUUUCUGUCGGUCUUUAAUCAGUUUUUUAAUACUUGGGGUUAUCCAAGGUUUAUCGGUUUGAUGCCACUUCACAGUUAUAUGAGGGAAUAUACGAUUAAUGGCUUCUGUAAGGUGCGAUGAGAAUGAUGAUGUUAAAUCGUCUACCGUUUGAUUAGUCCCUAACUCGCCAAACCAGACAUGUGUAGCGAUCCAUCUCCCCAAAGCUUCAACCCCAGACCUUGGAUAGCGCCGGAUGCGACGUUUGACAGAUUUCGUACGUUCUUGAGAAUUGGUAUUCUCUAGACUGGGUGACCAUGUUACAAUGUUAUGGUCUGAGGACCCUAAGGGCGCUAAAACUUGGGGAGGUUCAUACAGGUUUGGUUGGUUCGUAAUUAUCAGAUCCAAAAUGGCUGUACCUCUUGUAGGGACUUUGACAACUUGCUUCAGGUUAUGGCUUGAUAAUAUAUUCGAUAUAUCGAAAUCGUUAAAAUCACCAAGAAGGACUAGACCACAGUUGGGAUGUUGGUUGCGUAAUGAUAUGUCCUUAGAAGGUCUACAGUAUACUCAUAACCAAGUGGAAAAUUAUAUUAAUUCGUUUUCAGCGCUUGCAUGUUACGUAAAACACAACAUUUGCUACCCAAAAUGGCAGAAGUCAAAAAAUGAUUAUAUGGAAUUAUAUAUGUAUUAUGACGUCACUUGCGAGGGCGAAUAACACUGUUGUUAACAGGUAGAUGACCAAGCGCGUACGUAGCACCUUGCUAUAGGAAUUCCUGUUGUUGGGACAACUUAUAGCAAGUUCGUGCAUGUUAUAGCAUAUUAUGUUUUUGCAAUUUAUUUUUGUAAAUAAUAGUCAGGUAGGGAUGGCUGAGAUGAAACGUUUAGACAAAGGAUUUGCCCACGUUGACGUAACAGUUUAACCAAAGCGCAAACAAAGCCCUUUUUCAAUAGCUUUGAUAUUUUCCGGGCUUCUAGAUAUCUUGACACCGUUUAAUCCAUUAUAAUCCAAAAUAAUAACAUGUCUUUGUGUUCCUGUUAUUUAAAUCGUUCCCUGCAGCAGGUAAAUCAGUAAUCCUUACAGGCACUGAAAUAUUAUAUUCAAAGAGCGAUUUAUUUACAAGUGUUUUUCAAAAACGUCGUUCGCCGUAUAGCUAUUGCUACACACAUUAACGGUUUUUCAAGCGUAAAAGUUGGAACCCUUUUGGAGUUUCGGACCAAUUUGUUUUGAAACAAAAUAUCUCAAAAGAAUCCCACACGGCCUUACGUAAUCGAUACACAAUGCUGAUUUGGCGUAACGUUAAAAUUAUCAUGAUGUGCGUCUUGCUUUUUGCCCUUAUCGCUUCAAGUUACGGUUUCAAUCGGGCUCCUGCUCGGAGAAGAUAUGACAAGAAAAACCUCCCAAGACGUAGAAUGCGAUUGCCAAAACAUUCAAUUUUUGGACCAUGGUAUUUAUAAGGGACGACUGCAAACGAAAUAAGGUAUUUAUAUAUUAUUAAUAUUUUAUUAAUCGCAUGCGUAUGAUAAAACGGUUCGUCCUCACAUUGGGACACUAUUGCGUAAGCAUAUGCAAGUUUUAAAGUACAAAAUAACGAGAAAUUCUAAGUACGAUUAGAAUAUUACUUUAAAUACUAGAAUUCAACAAUUAGUAAAACACGUAUAAUAAACAGACGUAAUAAUUAGUAACAAAUGUCCUAAUUAAAUGUUAAGAAAGUAUAGUUUUGAACGAAUAGUUUUGCGCUCAAAAAUGGGCGAAAUUCCUUUAUGCAUACAACAUUUUAAACAGAAGGCACUCGAUCGUACUUCCCCUGUUUAAAUUUAUAAACAACGCAUUGCUGAUUCACAACAUGUUGUAAAAUAAAACUUAUAUUGCAUUUGUUUCAAAAUUAAUUUCAAAAACAAUAUUUAUUAAUUACUAUUUUAUUGUUAUGUUUAAAAGACAUCUUUUUUGUACAGUUAGCAAACAACUAAAAAUAUUUACAAAAUUAAAGUUGCGCAAUUUUACUAAAUACGCCGGAGGGAUGCUGUGGAAUAGUCUCCUGCCAAGUUGGCAGGCCGGAUAUUAUUAUUCACUCUUUUAACGAUAUUAUCAGUUUCCAGCUAAGCGUUUUUCUUAUACGUGCAUGUGUGCACUCACGUGCGCGUACAGGAACCAACAAGACAAGUCUAACAGAUUUAACCUUUCGGCCUAAACCAAAAAGAGAGUACCUUAAAAAGAGUUUCAAUUAUACUGGAGCUAAAUUGUGGAAUAGCCUCCCGUUUGAUGCAAAGGUAGCGGAAUCUGUUAGCCAAUUUAAGAAUAUUAUUAGAGGUAGUGAUAGCUAAAUGAUAUUUGUGGUCACACCAGUAACAUUUACAAUGUAAAUAUUUCUUUUUUGUAAAUAGUUAAUAUUGGACGCCCCCCGUGGAAAUCAGCUAAUUGCUGUCGGGGCCAGCGUCAUUAAAUAAAGUUUUACCAUACCAUACCAUACCAUACCAUACAAAGAAAAUCAUUACCGUGUCCGUGGUUUUAUAUGUGAUAAAAAACAAUCUUCAUUUACAUAAACCUUAACUUUGAUUUUCUCGGCUGAGAAAAGGUUUAUUUUUGCAAUUACUUCGCCAAUGAACUCGAGGGGCAAAAUUGUGGACCAACCUCUUCGAUGAAUUAAGGAAUAAAGAAUCUCUUCCUAUACCAUUAAUACAACUAUUGCGACAUCUGGCCGGUUAAUUAAGUCAAUUAAUUAUUUAAUAUUCUGAUUGUUCGAUAAAUGAUACGUUUGACAUCUGAUUCUAUACAAAAACAAUCGACACACGGCAGUGUUAGAAAAAAACGUCGCUAUAUAACAAAACACUUAGUGCCUGUUUUGUAUUCAUUCGUGCAUAACAACAAGAUAGGGCAUUUGUAGACUUAUUGGUAUGUUAGGGUUUGUAAUCCAAGUGAUUAUAUACAUUUUAAGACCUGACCAGGAACGACUGCGAAAAAUGCAGCACAAGGUCCUCUGGUAGGAUUUGAACGACCCUGCGAUUAUAUUCUGCGAUUACAUUCUAAUAUUAAUUCCACCAAGUGAAGUGCAAAGAAACCACAUCAUUCAAGUCCAUUUGUAGACUUCUUAGCUUAAGGGGCAAUUUAUAACUCCUCUUUAAUUGCUGGGAAAAGGACACUUUUAUUCCACAAAAAGGGAACAUUUUCCCCUUGCGCAAAAAGAGGGGCGGGGGGGGGCACUUGCCCCCAAUGCCCCCAGUUCACACCCUCUAACGGUUUGUGACGGCGCCCCUCAUGAAACUUAACAUCUGUUGAUCAGGUAGCGUCUUUAAAUAAAUCUUACAUACAUACUUAUCCGCAGAGUCGGUUAACGCUCUACUAAAAGUCAUGGGCUUUCACGUCGCGUUUUCCGGAUUCCUCCCACAGGGAAGCUGACAGGGUGGGUUAAUUGAGAUUAGCCCGUGACUGACCUUAUUAUAAAUCUUUUUUUACAAGCAAAUUAUAUGUUAUUAUAUUAUUAUAUGUUAUCAACUGAGCGAGGUCCGGACUGGAAGAUCAUUAUAGUCGAGUUGUUUACAACACUUUUUGAAUAUUUAAAAAUUGCAGGAUUUUAAAGACCAUGUAAAGUCCGUAAUGUAAACAAACGCUUUGUUUACAUUUUGAACUCAGUGCUACAAUUGUAAAAUAUGAUUAGAUAUAUAUUAUACUGAAUUUUUAACACUCUUCUGGUUCGAUAUGCUUGUAAAUGAAUACAGACUAGAGAUUCAAUUCAAGAGAGUUCAAAAGCUACGAAAUAUUAAUAACAUUCCAACGGUCGGGUCCCAACCAUUGGAAUGUAAGCCUGCGCAGAACGUAUGCGCAGAACGGACUUUACAUGGUCUUUAAAUUUCUUUGACAAAGAUAAAGCGAUAAUAACAUAUUUUCAGAUAUUAAUACACUAAAAGACGAAAACAGAACAGUUUCUAGUCCAGUUUCGUUCUUGUUUAAUUGCCCGAAAUAUCGUUCAAUGGCGGCAAGUAUUAACUAUUACUAGCUCUGUCAACAUUUUAAGUGUUGAAAAAAGAGUUUUUAUAUGUCCAUGUAAACAACAUUUCAACACAAGCAAGAGCAGAAUAGUGAGUUAUUUUCUAUAAAAUAACUACCCAGGGUUACUAAAGGAGUUAUUUGAGCUUUCUUCGCGAGCUAUCCAUCCUAACGGUCUAUACUAUGAGAUCAGUGAUGAACUGCAAAUUACCGAGCGCUCAGGAACCAAUCAAAAUGCUGCAUUUUGCAGAUGGACAGCCUUGCCAUAUAAUAAAUGGAUACGUUCGGGCUUCAUUGUCUCGUUUGAAUGACUUUCAACAUAUUUGAAUUUGACUACUAAUUGUGGGGCCAUAAAAAAUUCACCUUCUUUAAUUCAAUAAACAAACAAACAAGGUGUUAAAUAUUUGGAAGGAAAAGCAAAAAAAUGAAAAACUGUCCGUGUGUUGAAAACCAAUUUGCUUACUUAAAUGACGAGUGUCGUAAAUCCUGUUAUAAUAACUCGUGAACAUUCCCAAAUAGUCAAAUCUCUUGUGAGAUAUAAAUGUAAUAGGAUAGCAUCUUGUUAUCCAGACCCUAAUAAUAGCCUCAUAUUGCAAAAACACUUGUACGGUCGUUAAACAAUUGUUUAAGUACAGCCAAUCAGAACCAUCAAUAAGUUCAGUCGCGACCAACUCAGAAACAACUGCCCAGAUCUGGGGAGCGCAACUUGGGGUCGACAAGCACACAGGCUGGUUAGCCAGGAAAAGCAACUAAUUUUUUCUGCAUUUUGAAAAUUUGUGUUUUCCAUGGUCUUAAUUAGAAUUAAAUUCUCUAUUUAUUUUAACGAUGCAGCUUUGAUUAUAAGAGGGUCCCCGUAAACAAUAUAUUUAUUCAUGCAUUUUUUUUUUACCGAAAAUCGGAGAAAGAAAGUUCUUGGAGAAAUGCGAAAUUUCAGAAAUAACAUCUCAAUGAAACCUGUCGAAAACAGGUCGAUCAAGUUUCCAAUUGAGGCCAAUUCUCAACCUUUGUACUUUGUACUCGGUCUUCAAAAAAUGGUGCAGUUUAUAUGGAAAUCGGUUGACGAAAGCAAAUUUCCAUAUAAAGGUUCAUACUAUGAGAUCAGUGUUGAACUGCAAAUUACCGUCCGCUCAGGAACCAAUCAAAAUGCUGCAUUUUGCAGGUGGACAGCCUUGCCAUAUAAUAAAUACAUUUAAUAGAACAUUUGGGCUUCAUUGUCUCGUUGAAUUUGACUACAAAUUGUAGGGCCAUAAAUAUAUAUAGCCUAUUUAUUAACAGAAAUUCACCUUCUUUAAUUCAAUGACAAACAAACAAGGUGUUAAAUAUUUGGAAGGUAGCAAAAGAAUGAAAAACUAUCCGUGUGUUGAAAACAAAAUUUGCUUAUUUAAAUGAUAAGUGUCGUAAAUCCUCUUAUAUCACACUUGCAUCGGUUUUCUUUGUUCGUCCGAGGUUUUUAACUAGCUUAUAGACCUUGAAUAAAUGAUUGGAUUAAACUUGUAGACAAAACGCGAGAAUUUUUCAUUAAAAAUUUUUGAAAAUGACAAAAUAUGUUGGAAAACCUCCGCAAGUGUGAUAUAAGUUAGUUAUAAACCGAGUAAGUCGGUUUAUAACCGAUAUAUUGCCCCUCGGACGCUACGCGUCCUCGGAUCAAUAUAUCAGUUAUAAACCUCCUACUCGGUUUAUAACUCUUACUUAUAAUAACUCGUGAACAUUCCCAACAUAGUCAAAUCUCUUGUGAGAUAUAAGUGUAAUAAUAGCCUCAUAUUGCGAAAACACUUGUACGGUCGUUAAUAUUUAAAUCCAGCCAAUCAGAACCAUUAAUAAGUUCAGUCGUGACCAAUCAGAAACAAUCUGGGUGGCGCAACUUUGGGUCGACAAGCACACAGGCUAGUUAACCAGGAAAAGCAAUUUUUUCUGCGUUUUGAAAAUUUGUGUUUUCCAUGUCUUUAGAAUUAAAUUUUCUAUUUAUUUUAACGCGAUGCAGCUUUGAUUAUAAGAGGGUCCCCGUAAACAAUGUAUUUAUUCAUCACUUUUUUACCGAAAAUCGGAUUAAGAAAGUUCUUGGAGAAUGCGAAAUUUAAAUAACAUCUUAGUGAAACCUGUCGAAAACAGGUCGAUCAAGUUUGCAAUUGAGGCCAAUUCUCAAACUUUGUUGUACUUUGUAUUCGGUCUUCAAAAAAUGGUGCAGUUCAUUAGUUACUAUAGCUAGGAGAAUUCACGAUUUAGAUCCGUGUUUUUUGGACAAUUAUUACUUGUUGAAAAACAACUAAAAGUAUCUUAUUGAUGUAAAACAACACCAAAGGGUUCAAAUUUUUUCACAAAAAUUACGCAACUGCCGUAUGGCAACAAUGACGUUUCAAGAUGGCGAAAACCUUGGAUUUAAGUCAUUUAACUCGUCUUAUUAAGUUAUGAAUAAUCACAUUUACAUCAUAGAUGUUGUUUUACAUCACUAAGAUACUUUUUAUUUCUCAACAAGUAAUAAUAUAAUUCUCCAAAAAUACGGAUCUAAAUUGUGAAUUUUCCAUUUUUAAAAAGCUGUUAGUAUCGAGUCACGACAUACGUACUAGAUGAUGAGACUCGGGGUGGCCAUAUAUCGCCUAUUGGUAUAAUCUCAUUAGUCAUUCACUCACAAUCGUUUAAAGACGAAAGAGAGGCCACUGGUGCCCAAUUUCUGUAUGUCAGCAGACUAUAGGUGCCCUUUACCAACGAUAACACGAAACUAUUAGAGCCGAGCACUUCUAACAUGCUUCUAACAUGACUCAUCACUACCACGGUACCUUAGCACCAACAGAAAGCUCCAUUAUAUAUACAGCUAUUUCAAUUUUCAAUUAAGGUUGUCCACGAGCAAAGCGGACUAAAAAGUCGAAUACGAGCGCGAAAGGCUUGCUGGGAUUCCCAGCGACCUUUCGCGCUUGUAUUCGACCUUUCCGCUUUGCUCGGGGACAAUCUUACAGUCGAUUUCAUGAAACUUUGACGACGUACAAAUGUUUCGAACUUCGUUGCGAAGUUCGCAAGUUCGUUGCAAAAUUCGGAAGUUCAUAUUGGAUUCACAAGCCAUUUUGUAAACAAACUGUCCCUGAUUGGUCACUGAAAUGGAAGAAGCCAAUCAGAUGCGUAGUUUCCAAACUGGUAUGUGAAUCUCAUUAUGAACUUUUGAACUUCGCAACGGAACUUGCGAACUUCGCAACGAAGUUCGGAACAUUUGUGGCCAAAGUUUUGUGAAAUCGACUGUAAUUGAAAUAGCUGUAUACUUGGAGCGAGCGAGAAUUUCAGUUGUUCGACUACAAGAUGGCGGCCAUUGACGUCCAAUAAAAGGUCGUAAACAGCUUUUAUAGCAUUUCCCCCAGCUAAUUCCAGUUUUUUCUAACGGACCGUAUCGCUAACCAAGUUAUCAGUUCAUAAAACCAUAGUGUUAUUCUUUAAAUCGAUGUCAAAAUACGAAAUUUCGGCACACUCCUUGCCAAGAUGGCGGAAAUUGAAGGAGCUAUUGGACGUUAGUUCCAGUCCCAUUCUAUUGUUUUUGUCUGCGCGGUUAACACGAAGAUGGCUUCACUUUUUGGAUUAGAGUUCUCGCUCCAGAAAAUGUUUUACUACAUCGAUAAUGAGACUCGAGGCGCCUAUUAUCCGCUCUUCUAGCACGACAGCAAUCCACAGUAGAUUUGUGCUGGUCCCAUCAAUAUGGCCAUCAUUGGCUUCAUCAGUAAUAUCAGAGUCUGUAAAGAUAUGAUGGUCUGGAAUGCCAGCAAACUUCAAAGCCACAAAAUAGAAGACCUUAUUUUGAUGUUGAACUGUACCUCACCAUGCGCAAAUCCUUUGUCUCAACUUCAUUAAAUAUUAUUCAUCGUGGUUGCACGUUUCAUCUCAGCUAUCCCUAUUCAGGACGGUUACUAAAUUUUCCGAAAAUACAAUGAGCUCAAAACAUAACUGUUGGGGAUUGCCUCCCUUGUUUCGCCCAACAAAUUCACGUACAAAAUAAAACCACAAAAUAAAUUCACAAUGACGAUAUACAGUUUGGAUAUAUAUAUUAGAACAAAAUAAACAAAAUUCAACAAAUUACAGGUUCACUUAUAGAUUCUCUCCGCUCGCAAUAUCGCAAAAUCACUCUCUCGAGGAAGUUUGUCUCAACACUAAAUGUUUCAUGCGCAUGCAGAUAUUUUGUGUUGCCUUUCGUAACAGGCACGCAUUGACCCGAAUUUUAUACAAGUUGGUACAACUUGGUACAAGUUGCCAAUGUGCUGCUACCCCUUGGGGUACAACUUGCCACCUUGACCGACCUAGUUAUAAUAUUCUAAAUUUAACUAAAUAAACUUAUGCGAAGUAACGUUCAAUAUAGAAGUUUGAUCAACCUAAAAUCGGAAUCGUUAUAUAACUAACUAAAACUAAUAACAUGCUAUAAGUACUAUUUACAACAUGAGCGGCUGUGUUUUGUAGCGGUAAUACAAUAUAGUUAUAUAAGCUAUCACUUGAGGAAAAGAACUGAAGAGGAUUAUACAUAUUGUAAUCCUGCAUGUAAUCUUUCAUGUAAUCUUGUAUAUAAAUCUGUAUGUAAUCAUUGCUGCAAUAAGUACCAAUGAUUAACCACUUAAUACUUUGAAAUAAAGCCGGAAAUUCCCCAAAUUCAUCUCAAAGUCAACAAGCUUAAGAUAAAUAGGGAAAAGUUGCUGAUCGAAUUAGGAUUAGAAAACAGGUACAUGUUCAAAAACAUGACGUACGUAGCUAUGGGCUCUUUUCUCUGUCCGUUAAUAAAGUCCGGAAAUUUGUACUUGAUAGUUGUGAUGUUACUCUGAGUGUAUAUCCACAUCGGGAAAGCUUGAAAAAUAUGCCUGGCCACGGUGGGAAUCGAACCUACGACCUUUGGAAUACUAGCCCAAUGCUCUGCCAACUGAGCUACGCGGUUCCUUCGAUAUCAAUGCAAUCUAGUAAUCACGAUUUUUUCUGUGUUGGUGUUAUUUUCCAGGCAUAUUUUUCAAGUUUGCCCAGUGUGGAUAUACACUCAAAAAAAUUUGUACUUGUUACAUUCGUCUACUGAAACAAGAGUAGCGAAAAAUAUACUAAAUAUUCCACAUCACCAUUCGUUUCCUGCUUAUUCAGCUCAAUGCAUAUAGCCUGUGCCGUAACUUUUGUAUAAUAAAGAGUCUGCGAUAAAAAGAUUGAAUAAUCAUACGGAUUUCCCAACAAUUUGCCAUUAGUCAGAUAUGCAGAUUCAAUACGUUUCAUCUCAUGUUCACGGGAUUAUCGGGUAUUAUUGUGGUUAGAGCUCGACAACUGGAUUCUGUUGCUCAGUUGGUUAGAGUGUUGCACCGAAAUCCGCAGGGCCGCAGGUUCGAUUCCUGAUAGAGGAACCUAGCUAGUCAGUUGCAUUUUUCGCAACCGUUAGUCGGCAUGCCGGUUACUAGGUCUUAUAUUGUGUAUACAGCUAUUUCAAUGGACCUUUCCCCUUAUAACUAAAAUUUCGAUCUAGACAAAAAUUUCAUCACAGCUUGAAAGAGCAUCACAAAAUUAGUAAUAUUCCAAAGUUUUGUUGCAAAAUCUUGUAAAAUGCGGAUAAUAUAGCCUUGCGAAGUUUGCCGUUUUUCAGUCAUUUUCUAUUACAAACGGGAAAUUGACAUACGAUUCGGGUGUUGGGGCUGCAAUUUCCCGUUUGUAAUGCAAAAUGACUGAAAAUUGCAAACUUCGCAAGGCUCUGUUUUCCUCAUUUAUUUUACAACAUUUCGCAACGAAACUUUGGAAUAUUACUAAUUUUGUGAUGCUCUUUCAAGCUGUGAUGAAAUAUUUGUCUAGACUUGCCUAGAUCAAAAUUUUAGCAAGGUUGUCCUCGAGCAACGCGGAAAAGUUGAAUACGAGCGCGAAAGGCUUGCUGGGAAUCGCUAACAAAAUUAUUAAUUUUUUAGCGAUUCGCAGCAAGCCUUUCGCGCUCGUAUUCGACUUCUCCGCUUUGCUCGGGGACGACUUUGAUUGAAAUAACUGUAUAUUAUCAUGUUCGCUUGGAUUAUCCACCAAACCCAGCAUGGAAAUUAAGUAUGCAUGCGAUUGCUCAUCCACAAACUACACGGUAAUAAUAUUCACUGUAUUUUCUUACCAUUUUAGGACGAACACUGUAUUGUGAAAGACAAGUAUAUUAUGCCAGCCCAGCUAGACAACAUAGACAGUACAUCUCAUGUACUGACUGGAGAAUAUACAUUUAUGCAUAUAUAUGCAGCAAUAAAUUUACGUGGUAUUUCCACAAGCAAAACUAUUAAAUAUACAUUUAACUGCCGAUUCAAAAUGGCCACUGGUUUUCUGGCGAAUGGACUUUAUGUACAAAACGAAAUAAUUUACUAUCGUUAAUAAAGGGGUUCUCCAGUCAUUUUUUAGUCGAAAAGCCACCUUAAGUAUUGUUUACACUUUUUCGUUAUUGUCGCUACUUGACAUGCGCACCACGACAUGCAUGCGUCUUCCGGUGUGCGGAAGUACUCAUACUCAUGGAUACUGCAUGUAAGAUACAGCCAAACGAAUCUCCGUGGAGUCCCCUACUUAAGGUGGCUUUUCGACUAAAAAAUGACUCUAGGUUCCCUUUAAAGUCAUAAACUUAGGGAAUAGGGAACGUUCAUUAUUUAUUUGUAUAGGUAUAUUAGUAUAGUUUUAAAUGCAAUUAAAUGCAAAGAUGAAAAUUUCGCCGAAAGAGUUAGAAGGACGCCUUGUUUGUUUUCAGUCUAAAUUGUACGAGAAAUCAUAGUAUUACUAGUUAAAGGGAGUAUUUGGCAAUAAAAGAUUACUUUUGAAAUUUUUGAAGCAACCAGGUAUAUCAGUCAUGUUUUCGCUUGCUAUAAAUAAAUAUAUCAGGUAUAUCAGUCAUGUUUUCGCUUGCUAUAUAAAUAAAUAAAUGAUGCAAAGCCCAGUCGAUUUCAGAUCACCCUUGAUUAAGACACUAUAUAGACUGAGUGUGAAAACGUUGGGUCGUGAAUGCAAUUCGAAUGGGCUUUGCAUUAAUUUAUAAAAACCUGGGAAGUGAGCGAAACCUUGUUUACUUAAUAUACUAUUUGAAAGAGCUUUGAAAAUUUCCUGAAAUAUUUUGAUGACAAUAUAAUCAUCAUAAAUUAUUGCAUGAGUCGCAUGUCCGCCAUCUUGGAUUAUUGUGGAUAUGCAUGUUACCCAGAUAUGCAACAAUCUCAUUCCCAGGCUCUUACUUCUUGUGGAGAAAAGACCCUGGCAUGAGCUGGUCAAGUGAUCUGCUGAAAUCUAGUAGAUUUCUAAGUAACUAUCUUGGAUUCCUUUAAAAUCCAAUCAAAUCAAACUUGCAAAACAAAAUGCAAGUUAUAAUUUAAAGAAAUAGACAAACGUAAUUUUAUUGCCAUCUCCCAUUAUUAAUACCAGAG
rnacentral:lncRNA from 1 species